UACAGAGGGGGCAAGCGUUGUUCGGAAUUACUGGGCGUAAAGGGCGCGUAGGCGGCCUGUUAAGUCGAACGUGAAAUCCCCGGGCUCAACCCGGGAACUGCGUCCGAUACUGGCAGGCUUGAAUCCGGGAGAGGGAUGCGGAAUUCCAGGUGUAGCGGUGAAAUGCGUAGAUAUCUGGAGGAACACCGGUGGCGAAGGCGGCAUCCUGGACCGGCAUUGACGCUGAGGCGCGAAAGCCAGGGGAGCAAACGGGAUUAGAAACCCCCGUAGUCC
rnacentral:rRNA from 1 species